GGCAGUGUGGCCGAGUGGUCUAAGGCGCUGGUUUUAGGCACCAGUCGUAAAAGGCGUGGGUUCGAAUCCCACCGCUGUCA
rnacentral:tRNA from 1 species